CUCUCUCUCUCUCUCAAGCUAGUAGAAUAGUAGCUCUCUCUCUCUCUCUCCUCUACACCGUAAGUCACCGUAGUUGCGGGUCUUGAAUUUCAGUUCAAGUAUUAUUAUCUUCGUUUCUGAAAUUGUGUUUAAAAAACUAAUUUCCAGUUCAAUAAUUUGGUCUUGUUUGUUUGAAUUUUCUAAUUAUGAUUUUGAUAGAAACAUGUUGUAAUUGAUGCUAUGAGUAUUGUGAUGUAAUAAGGACUCGGUAGAGUUAUGAAUGGUAGCUGCAAGAAUGGAAAUGAGAGACGCAUGAAAGGUGUUUGAUGAAAGGUUUCAAAGAGCCACAAGUUAAAAUCACAUUCAAACACUAUAUGAUAUUGCUGGUGCUUUUUAUUCCAAGUCAUUGGAUGAAAUUCUUGCUUUAAUUCCGACCAUUUUAGUUGAGUUUGAAAACGGAAUAAAGAAACUAUAUGAUCAAGGGGCCAGGAAUUUUUUCACAUUCAGUUUAGCAUUGUUAAAAACUAGCAAUUCAGUCAGGCUGCAAAUGGACUGUAACUCAAAA